rnacentral:sRNA from 1 species
UCUCUUUCCCUCGGCUCCUUCCAGUGAAGGUCAGAUUUGAGAGAAAGCAGUUAACUUGGCUUACCUAAGAGACUUUAUUGUGGAAUAUUUUUCCGUCCUCUGUGGCUGCCUGAUAGGGGCUGUAAAUCUCAAAUCCAGCAAUCGAACCCCAGUGGUACAGGAAUUUGAAAGUGUGGAACUGUCUUGCAUCAUUACGGAUUCGCAGACAAGUGACCCCAGGAUCGAGUGGAAGAAAAUUCAAGAUGAACAAACCACAUAUGUGUUUUUUGACAACAAAAUUCAGGGAGACUUGGCAGGUCGUGCAGAAAUACUGGGGAAGACAUCCCUGAAGAUCUGGAAUGUGACACGGAAAGACUCAGCCCUUUAUCGCUGUGAGGUCGUUGCUCGAAAUGACCGCAAGGAAAUUGAUGAGAUUGUGAUCGAGUUAACUGUGCAAGUGAAGCCAGUGACCCCCGUCUGUAGAGUGCCAAAGGCUGUACCAGUAGGCAAGAUGGCAACGCUGCACUGCCAGGAGAGUGAGGGCCACCCCCGGCCUCACUACAGCUGGUAUCGCAAUGAUGUGCCGCUGCCCACGGAUUCCAGAGCCAAUCCCAGAUUUCGCAAUUCUUCUUUCCACUUAAACUCUGAAACAGGCACUCUGGUAAGAUCUCUUCUAAGA